rnacentral:rRNA from 1 species
ACGGGGUGCAGCAGGCGCGAACACCUUACAAUGCGGGAAACCGCGAUAAGGGAACCCCGAGUGCCAGCAUCAAAUGUUGGCUGUCCAGAUGGUUAAAAAUCACUUGUUAGCAAGGGCCGGGCAAGACCGGUGCCAGCCGCCGCGGUAACACCGGCGGCCCGAGUGGUAGCCGUUUUUAUUGGGUCUAAAGGGUCCGUAGCCGGCCUGAUAAGUCCUUUGGGAAAUCUGGCAGCUUAACUGUCAGGCUUCUAAGGGAUACUGUCAGGCUUGGGACCGGAAGAGGUAAGGGGUACUCCAGGGGUAGGAGUGAAAUCUUGUAAUCCCUGGGGGACCAUCUGUGGCGAAGGCGCCUUACCAGAACGGGUCCGACGGUGAGGGACGAAAGCUAGGGGAGCAAACCGGAUUAGAUACCCGGGUAGUCCUAGCUGUAAACGAUGCUCGCUAGGUGUCAGACACGGUGCGACCGUGUUUGGUGCCGCAGGGAAGCCGUUAAGCGAGCCACCUGGAAGUACGUCGCAAGGC